AUGGCUUCGGAGAUGGAGUCCUCUCUGGAGGCCAGCUUCUCCAACAGCUGCGUGGUGCCAGCCACUGAGGGGUGUCUGCCUCCUGCCCACUCCCGCAUCUUCAAGAUCAUGGUGAUCCGCGACUCCAAUGUGGGCAAGACGUGUCUGACCUACCGCUUCUGCGCCGGCCGCUUCCCGGACCGCACGGAGGCCACCAUCGGGGUGGAUUUCCGAGAAGGAGCGGUGGAGAUCGCCGGGGAGCGCGUCAAGAUCCAGCUGUGGGACACGGCAGGCCAGGAGCGCCUCCACAAGAGCACGGUGCAGCACUACUGCGCAACGUGCACGCCGUGGUCUUCGUGUACGAUGUCACCAACGUGGCCAGCUUCCACAGACUGCCGGCCUGGAUCGAGGAGUGCAAGCAGCACCUGCUGGCCGGCGACAACCCGCGCAUCCUCGUGGGGAACAAGAGUGACUUGCGCGGCGCCGUGCAGGUGCCCACGGACCUGGCGUGGAAGUUCGCGGACGCGCACAGCCUGCCGCUGUUCGAGAGGUCGGCCAAGAGCCCGCACGACAGCGACCACGUGGAGUCUGUCUUCACGACCCUGGCGCACGAGCUCCAGAGCCACAGCCCGCUCGUGCUCAGCCAGCCCCCUGGCGCAGGGUGGCCCUGAAGCCCGAGGCCAAGCCCGCGCUGCCCUGCUGGUGCUGAGUGGAGACGUGAGCGGGGUCUGCCGAGCAGCGCUGCCCAGUGCCCGCGUCGUGUCUCCUUCAUCAGGGCUGUCACUGUGACCCCGGGGAAAGGUACCUCUCACUGAGGUGGGAGAGGCGAGCAGGAUGUGCCCUGGGCUGGAGGGAGGCAGGGACAGAGCCU